rnacentral:rRNA from 1 species
UUCGAUUUGGGUGGCGGACGGGUGAGUAACGCGUAAAGAACUUGCCUCACAGCUAGGGACAACAUUUGGAAACGAAUGCUAAUACCUGAUAUUAUGAUUAUAGGGCAUCCUAGAAUUAUGAAAGUUAUAUGCGCUGUGAGAGAGCUUUGCGUCCCAUUAGCUAGUUGGAGAGGUAACGGCUCACCAAGGCGAUGAUGGGUAGCCGGCCUGAGAGGGUGAACGGCCACAAGGGGACUGAGACACGGCCCUUACUCCUACGGGAGGCAGCAGUGGGGAAUAUUGGACAAUGGACCGAGAGUCUGAUCCAGCAAUUCUGUGUGCACGAUGACGUUUUUCGGAAUGUAAAGUGCUUUCAGUUGGGAAGAAAAAAAUGACGGUACCAACAGAAGAAGUGACGGCUAAAUACGUGCCAGCAGCCGCGGUAAUACGUAUGUCACGAGCGUUAUCCGGAUUUAUUGGGCGUAAAGCGCGUCUAGGUGGUUAUGUAAGUCUGAUGUGAAAAUGCAGGGCUCAACUCUGUAUUGCGUUGGAAACUGUGUAACUAGAGUACUGGAGAGGUAAGCGGAACUACAAGUGUAGAGGUGAAAUUCGUAGAUAUUUGUAGGAAUGCCGAUGGGGAAGCCAGCUUACUGGACAGAUACUGACGCUGAAGCGCGAAAGCGUGGGUAGCAAA